GCGGUUGAGGCUCAGUGGUAGAGUACUUGCCUAGCAUGUGUGAGGCAUUGGGUUCGAUCCUCAGCACCGCA
rnacentral:tRNA from 1 species